CAGCAGCCGCGGGAAUACGAAGGGUGCAAGCGUUAAUCGGAAUUACUGGGCGUAAAGCGUGCGUAGGCGGUUUGUUAAGUCUGCUGUGAAAUCCCCGGGCUCAACCUGGGAAUGGCAGUGGAUACUGGCAAGCUAGAGUGUGUCAGAGGAUGGUGGAAUUCCCGGUGUAGCGGUGAAAUGCGUAGAGAUCGGGAGGAACAUCAGUGGCGAAGGCGGCCAUCUGGGACAACACUGACGCUGAGGCACGAAAGCGUGGGGAGCAAACAGGAUUAGAUACCCCGGUAGUCCCUGUCUCUUAUAC
rnacentral:rRNA from 1 species